rnacentral:misc_RNA from 1 species
CCUUUUUGGAAUGCCCGCAGCCUGCAAUCAACAUAGUUACUUCUAAUAUCAAGAUAACACAAGGUAAUUCAACAAGUAGAAAAGGAACAGCAAAAAUUAAACACCAUGAGAUAGCAAAAUUUAUAAACAUUAGAAAAUUUGUGGUCAUGCAAAAGACAGCAUAUCAGCCUCUAUACAGCGGUUCACACAAAAAUAGCAUGUGGCAUACAUACAACAGCAAUUCAUUUGAUAUGAGAACAACAAAACAAACAUGGCUCAAGAGCAAACAAUGCAUCACCUUCAACUCCUCAAGGGUAAAGC